GGGUGAGUAACGCGUAGGAAUCUACCUAGUAGUGGGGGACAACUCGGGGAAACUCGAGCUAAUACCGCAUACGCCCUACGGGGGAAAGCGGGGGACCUUCGGGCCUCGUGCUAUUAGAUGAGCCUGCGUUGGAUUAGCUAGUUGGUGGGGUAAAGGCCUACCAAGGCGACGAUCCAUAGCUGGUCUGAGAGGAUGAUCAGCCACACCGGGACUGAGACACGGCCCGGACUCCUACGGGAGGCAGCAGUGGGGAAUAUUGCGCAAUGGGCGAAAGCCUGACGCAGCCAUGCCGCGUGUGUGAAGAAGGCCUUCGGGUUGUAAAGCACUUUCAAUUGGGAGGAAAGGUUCACGGUUAAUAACCGUGAGCUGUGACGUUACCUUUAGAAGAAGCACCG
rnacentral:rRNA from 1 species